UACGUAGGGUGCAAGCGUUACUCGGAAUUAUUGGGCGUAAAGCGCAUGUAGGUGGCUUUGUAAGUCUGAUGUGAAAUCCCUGGACUCAAUUCAGGAACUGCAUUGGAUACUGCAAGGCUAGAGUAUGGGAGGGGUAGGCGGAAUUCAUGGUGUAGAGGUGAAAUUCGUAGAUAUCAUGAGGAACAACAGAGGCGAAGGCGGCUUACUGGACCAUAACUGACACUGAGAUGCGACAGUGUGGGGAGCAAACAGG
rnacentral:rRNA from 1 species